UUUUAUUAUGGGCAGUCCUUUCACUCUGAUGCCCACUUCUCACUGGAGCUUUACGUGUGUUGGCUGGCUGGCAUGAUUUGCUGUUGGUGAUGGGGCGGUCAGGGUGACGUUGCAGGGCUAUAGUCGGCUCUCUGUGAGCUCAACGUUUAGAUUUGCUCUGCAUGGUUUGUACCCAGAAUAAUCUAGAUAAUUGUAAAAUGUAGACACAGUUUUGCAUUGAAUGGUUGCAGGAUUUUAGGUUUAAAGUUGUUGUGGGACGUACAUGGUAGUUUGGUUCUUCGUAUGGUUUCAAGUGAUAUAACUUGUACACACUGGGUGCAUAUACUACAACGCACUGGGUGCAUAAUACUGUAAAAGUAUACUGAAUAGUAGUAAUGACCAACAGCAACAAACAGAUCUGCUCAAGGUAAGUCUGUUGGCUGUGUUUUAAUGAAGACCAUCGCUGGACUUCAGGAUCUUCCUCCGUUCAGCUCAAGGUGAGGCGCUGGUUAUGUUGUUUCUUUGGUUGGUUCCGGCCGGAAUGUUCGGAUUCCGGUCGGACGGUUUGUGCUUCCCGCCGUGGAAGGUUCUGAGUGCGGUCAUUUGAUUUAGUCCCAAUGGUUAGCAUAGAACGUUGUAGUAUUGACAACCAUAAGAAACCACCUGGCAGUUAGAUGGACGGGAGGCCCCAGAGGGAAUCUGGCGGAACGUUCCGGAUUGUAUUUGCGUAACCUCGAGCCGUUGCCAAUGGAAAUUAUUUUUCAAUUGGUUUCCAUUGGGAAUUGUUGCCCCUAUCUUAAACAACCUAAGUUUGAUAUUAAAUACAUACUCACACGUACGUCGUACAAUAUGUUGAUCAUUUCCGAUGGUUGCGCCGUACUUUUAACCACGUUGACGGGAAUCUCGCUGCGUACAAAAGGCUGUUCUACUUGCGGGCCCAUUUUUGAUAUCGGAAGGCUGAAAAUCAUUUCAAGGUGGAAGACAAUUUGACAUUUCUUCAACGGAACACAGCACCUGAAUAUGGCUGAGUAAAUUUGAUUUAAUAUCGAUACUGUUUAGUGUUCAUUGUUACUUCAGCUUUAGUACGUCAUUAAAUGCCACAGAAGUUAAACCCUACCGAAUGGAAUGACGUUAAACAACGACGUUGGUGCAGAGUUAGCAACUGGAUAAUAUCAAAGCUAAAAUAAUGGCCGUCAUUCCCACAUGUUGCAUUAGACGAUACUCUAGAAAUGUACAAGGUUAAAAAGGUAAAAUGUAGUUUGUCCCAAGGUGUCUGCCUCCUCACCCAGAGCAAGACCUCCACCUCCUCACCCAGAGCCAGACCUCCACCUCCUGUCAGAAGUCCUCCAGAACAGGUCAGGACUCUGUCUGAGGAGAGCUGCUGGAUGAGCUGAGACGCUGGAGGACGACUAGGAAUCGACCAACAAGGAUUCCUCAACGUGUUUCUGGAGCGGAGGCGAACUGGUAGGGAUGCCGUGAAUCCGGAGGAUGACCAUCACUCUACCAAUAAGGAUUAUACACCUGAGCUGAACCUCACCUGAUCCUGUUUGGUCGGGGGUAGACACACCUGAGCUAAACCUGCCCUGAUCCUGACAUCCUGCUGGUCCAGUCUCCUCAGUUCAUCUGAGCCUCGUCCUCCAGAAGAACUGCUGAGCUCAGCAGUCUGAGGCUGAUGGAUCAAUGACCUCCAGUGGGAGUGAUCUUCUUGACCCCACAUACCAGGACUCUGUCUGAGGAGAGCUGCUGGAGGAGCUAAGACGCUGGAGGACGACUAGGAAUCGACCAACAAGGAUUCCUCAAUGUGUUUCUGGAGCGGAGGCGAGCUGGUAGGGGAGCCGUGAAUCUGGAGGAUGACAUCACUCUACCAACAAGGAUUACUUUAGGGCCAGACUCGCGCUGUUUGUUCCAGACCAGGACUGGCUGAGGCGAGCUGAUGGAGGAUCCAAGACUCUGGAGGACGACAUCACUCCACCAACCAGGAUCCUCAUACACCUGAGCUGAACCUCACCUGAUCCUGUUUGGUCGGGGGUAGACACACCUGAGCUAAACCCGCCCUGAUCCUGACAUCCUGCUGGUCCAGUCUCCUCAGUUCAUCUGAGCCUCGUCCUCCAGAAGACCUGCUGAGCUCAGCAGUCUGAGGCUGAUGGAUCAAUGACCUCCAGUGGGAGUGAUCUUCUUGACCCCACAUGUAACCGUGUGCUUCCACACGCCUUUCCCUCACGUCUGUCACUAACCUCACUACUUCACUACUCUCUACUGCUUCCUCUUUUCUUCCUUCUCUGUGGUUCAAACCUUUACAUGGAAGGCGCGUCUUCCUGCCCUCAGAGGGUUCAGCGUUAGGGUUGAGAGUCAGGGUUUAGAGUCAGGGACAGAGCUGGUCAGGGAGGACAGCUUUUACACAAGCCUCUUCACUUGCUUUCGGAAUGGUGGUGACAUUUUUUUAAAAGAUUCAUUUGGGAAAAUGUUUUCCUCUGCUUUCCAUUACAAAAUUGUAUUCAACUUCUGUCAAGAGUUUUUGUUUAUAUAUUAAAAUCCCAC